rnacentral:rRNA from 1 species
UACGUAGGGGGCAAGCGUUAUCCGGAUUUACUGGGUGUAAAGGGGGCGCAGACGGCGAUGCAAGCCAGGAGUGAAAGCCCGGGGCCCAACCCCGGGACUGCUCUUGGAACUGCGUGGCUGGAGUGCAGGAGGGGCAGGCGGAAUUCCUGGUGUAGCGGUGUAAUGCGUAGAUAUCAGGAGGAACACCGGUGGCGAAGGCGGCCUGCUGGACUGCAACUGACGUUGAGGCCCGAAAGCGUGGGGAGCAAACAGG